rnacentral:rRNA from 1 species
AGCAGUCGCCGCGGGAACACGGAGGGGGCUAGCGUUGUUCGGAAUUACUGGGCGUAAAGCGCACGUAGGCUGCUUUGUAAGUUAGAGGUGAAAGCCUGGUGCUCAACACCAGAACUGCCUUUAAGACUGCAGAGCUAGAACGUCGGAGAGGUGAGUGGAAUUCCGAGUGUAGAGGUGAAAUUCGUAGAUAUUCGGAAGAACACCAGUGGCGAAGGCGGCUCACUGGACGACUGUUGACGCUGAGGUGCGAAAGCGUGGGGAGCAAACAGGAUUAGAUACCCCUGUAGUCCCUGUCUCUUAUAA